rnacentral:misc_RNA from 1 species
AAAACAACUGUGGAAUGAUUAGCAAUGUGCAAGCUGAAUUGUCCUCCCUUUUCACUCACAUCAAUCUUCCUUGUCCCGGAUGGAGCUUUCAUCUCAAAGUUUGAUACCAAUUUCGCUAUCACAAGCCCUAGAAUUGGUAAUGCUAGUAUGAUCCCCGGGCAGCUGCGUCUACCCAUACCAAAUGGCAAGUACCGAAAAUCGACCUUUCCUCCGGCGACAGCUUCCGUGCCACAUUCUUCUUCAAAAAAUCGCUCUGGCCUGAACUCCUCCGGAUUCUUCCACCAUUGAGGGUUAUUAGCUAACCACCAUGCAUUGACCACCACCUUGGAUUCUCUAGGAAUUGUAAAACCCCCUAAUUUUGCUUCUUCAAGGUUCAUAUGUGGUACUAGCAAGGGAAUUGGGGUAUGCAACCUUAAUGUCUCUUUUACUGUGGCCUGCAAGUAAGGUAAUUCAUGUAGGUUUGAUUCUGUG